UUUCCUAAACAAACCUUGCCGGUUGCUUCAUGAAAAUAACAGAGAGCACACGUAUGUGGGGAAGUGGAGAGUGCAGUGUGAAGGCUCAGGGAUCUGCUGGAGCUUGAGGCAUAAAAAAGAUUAUAUUAGAAACAGCAAAGAGUCUCUGAGUCACAAGCAGCUCACAACUCUGGAAUGAAAUGUUCACCUUAGCCUCUCUGUUUCUCUUUUUCCAAUAGCAGUCUUCAAUUUAGGAUGUGAUCUUUUCCUUACCCUUCAGUAAGAGAUGGUCUCUGAUGAAUUUUUUUGAGUUACAUGUAAGAUUUCAAUUUUUUUUCUUCAGCCAAUUAUGCCUAUUCUAACACGACACUUUUUUUCCUAAACUUGAUAUAUAUAUAUAUAUUUAAAUUUAAGUUUAUAUUAACUAUAUAUAUGAGUAUUUUAAAUAUAUAUUUUGAAUUAAAAUACUGGAGAAUUUGUUACAAUGAGUGAAAAGACCAGCUAAAUAAAAACUGAAAUGUAUUCAGGAGACUGUAUGGAUUCUUAAGGUUUUUUUUACCAUAUUUGUGUAUAGAAACAAAUAAAAGAGAACAGGUUUAUUAUAAA